AGCGAACGCUGGCGGCAGGCCUAACACAUGCAAGUCGAACGGACCCUUCGGGGUUAGUGGCGGACGGGUGAGUAACACGUGGGAACGUGCCCUUAGGUUCGGAAUAGCUCCUGGAAACGGGUGGUAAUGCCGAAUGUGCCCUUCGGGGGAAAGAUUUAUCGCCUUUAGAGCGGCCCGCGUCUGAUUAGCUAGUUGGUGGUGUAACGGACCACCAAGGCGACGAUCAGUAGCUGGUCUGAGAGGAUGAUCAGCCACAUUGGGACUGAGACACGGCCCAAACUCCUACGGGAGGCAGCAGUGGGGAAUCUUGCGCAAUGGGCGAAAGCCUGACGCAGCCAUGCCGCGUGAAUGAUGAAGGUCUUAGGAUUGUAAAAUUCUUUCACCGGGGACGAUAAUGACGGUACCCGGAGAAGAAGCCCCGGCUAACUUCGUGCCAGCAGCCGCGGUAACAC
rnacentral:rRNA from 1 species